rnacentral:rRNA from 1 species
AGAGUUUGAUCCUGGCUCAGGACGAACGCUGGCGGCGUGCUUAACACAUGCAAGUCGAACGGAAAGGCCCUUUCGGGGGUGCUCGAGUGGCGAACGGGUGAGUAACACGUGGGUGAUCUGCCCUGCACUUCGGGAUAAGCUUGGGAAACUGGGUCUAAUACCGGAUAGGACCACGGCCUGCAUGGGUUGUGGUGGAAAACGUUUUAGUGGUGUGGGAUGGGCCCGCGGCCUAUCAGCUUGUUGGUGGGGUGAUGGCCUACCAAGGCGACGACGGGUAGCCGGCCUGAGAGGGUGUCCGGCCACACUGGGACUGAGAUACGGCCCAGACUCCUACGGGAGGCAGCAGUGGGGAAUAUUGCACAAUGGGCGCAAGCCUGAUGCAGCGACGCCGCGUGGGGGAUGACGGCCUUCGGGUUGUAAACCUCUUUCACCAUCGACGAAGGUCCGGGUUUUCUCGGAUUGACGGUAGGUGGAGAAGAAGCACCGGCCAACUACGUGCCAGCAGCCGCGGUAAUACGUAGGGUGCGAGCGUUGUCCGGAAUUACUGGGCGUAAAGAGCUCGUAGGUGGUUUGUCGCGUUGUUCGUGAAAUCUCACGGCUUAACUGUGAGCGUGCGGGCGAUACGGGCAGACUGGAGUACUGCAGGGGAGACUGGAAUUCCUGGUGUAGCGGUGGAAUGCGCAGAUAUCAGGAGGAACACCGGUGGCGAAGGCGGGUCUCUGGGCAGUAACUGACGCUGAGGAGCGAAAGCGUGGGGAGCGAACAGGAUUAGAUACCCCGGUAGUCC